rnacentral:rRNA from 1 species
AUUGAACGCUGGCGGCAUGCUUUACACAUGCAAGUCGAACGGCAGCGCGGGCUUCGGCCUGGCGGCGAGUGGCGAACGGGUGAGUAAUGCAUCGGAACGUGCCCAGUAGUGGGGGAUAGCCCGGCGAAAGCCGGAUUAAUACCGCAUACGACCUGAGGGUGAAAGCGGGGGACCGAAAGGCCUCGCGCUAUUGGAGCGGCCGAUGUCGGAUUAGCUAGUUGGUGGGGUAAAGGCUUACCAAGGCGACGAUCCGUAGCUGGUCUGAGAGGACGACCAGCCACACUGGGACUGAGACACGGCCCAGACUCCUACGGGAGGCAGCAGUGGGGAAUUUUGGACAAUGCGCGCAACCCUGAUCCAGCCAUGCCGCGUGAGGGAAGAAGGCCUUCGGGUUGUAAAGCGCUUUUGUUCGGGAAGAAAUCCUCUGGGCUAAUACCCCGGGGGGAUGACGGUACCGGAAGAAUAAGCACCGGCUAACUACGUG